AGGUCUCAGUGUCUCUUCUGCAUUGAGAAGUUGAAUGGGUAUAUUUCUGAAGCUUCUUUAGGCAAUGUUAGGUUUCUUUGAUCUCCAGGGAAAAGGAGAUUUCCUGUAUUCAUGUAUUCCACAUCAUUGGUGAAGACCACCACCAGGGGCAGAAGAGACCAUCCCCAGGAAUAGGUGUUCUAGCAUCCAUCCACCCAUGGGUGGAGAAAGGUAGAAUUGAGCACAUGGUCAGACUGCUCUUCAGAGAAGGCGGUAUUUAUGAGCCCAACACUGAGGAUGCUGCUGUUUCUGCUGCUUCUGGGGCCCAGCUCUGGGCUUGGUGCUCUCGUCUCUCAGAACCCCCGAAGAGCCAUCUGUAAGAGUGGAACCUCUAUGAAGAUUGAGUGUCACUUUGAGGGUGUUCAGGCAACUACUGUGGUUUGGUAUCAUCAAUCGGCACAAGAGACCUUCAAGCUGAUGGCAAUUUCUACUGUGAGCUCUAGUGUCAAAUAUGAACAAAAUUUUACUGAGGAGAAGUUUCCCAUCAACCACCCAAGCCUGAACUUUUCCUCUCUGACUGUGAUAACUGCAUAUCCU